AGGUAUCCGUCUCCCAGGUAAUAGCUAAAUGACAAGCAGAUGAGCCGCCAUCGUAUUGAUUUAAGCAUUUCGUUCCAGCCAGUCACAAUUAACUUUGAUUUGUUUUUACUUUCCUCUUACAGGUUUGCAUUUAAAGCACUCUGAGAGCACUAAUUGUAUAAAAAUUUUACUAAACUGCACAUUCUCUUUCUGGAGAGGUAAUGAAUGAAUGAACAUAAAAGCUGGAAUUUGUCUGAGAUUUGAAGCCGGAGAUUUUCCCAGCACUUUUUUCUCUGUGUGAAAUUGGAACUGAAGAUAUUCUCACCUGCUGUUUCUGAAGCUAUAGUUUCUGAGCAUCUCAUUUCUGACCAGAUUUGACCACUGAUCAAUAAGGGAUGCUGUAACAGACAUGAGUGAUGUUUUGGCAGGCAAUUGCAAUAACUCUAGCUAUCUGAUUGCAUUACCGUCUACUAGGCAAAGGGUGUCUCCUGGGAAGAAGCAUUACUUAAGAGCUGGUCAUGGCAAUAAUAACAAGAAGAAAAGGGAAAUGGUUCAACACAUUGUUCAGCGAUCUUUUAGAUUUCACUGAGCAGAUGACAUGAGUGACAGAAAUUGAGAGAGUGCAGCGUAUGCAGGCCUGGCAUACAGCAAGCCUGCAGGAAAGGCCUGCAGGUUAAUGUCCCAGGAACAUGUCGAUGUGGCUGAGAAGCAAGACCAUGAACCUGGAAGAUAGAGACAGACAGGUUCUCUGGGGAGCGGAGAUGAAACUAAACAGGUUAAGAGCUUCACCUGUCACAGAUGAACUACCUCUCCAUUGAAGGCGGAUGUGGAAAAAAGACAGGAUCCACUGGCAAGAACUUCCAAAUGUGCUGGUGUCAUAUCAAUACUGAAAGCCUGUCAACCUCAGGUUAGGGACCCUGGGACUGAAGAAGAAAUUCAUUUAGACAUAUAGCCUGACCAAUUUGAAAGGUUGAACCUGGAGGACCAUUGAAAUGUCUAGAUUCUAAAUGAACUAGAAUCAUGGUCUGGCUAAUGGAAAAUGUCUUGAGGAAACAGAGUCUGUCUCCGUUUUUACCAGAGUUGGCCAACAGGAACACGAUCUAACCUAUGAACAGUUCAGAUAGAUUUCACCAUUGCAUUCUGUCCUGAUUUCUCUGCCCAUUUCAAUGUCUCUCCCCCCCCACUCCCCCGCCCAUAUAGUUCUACUAUGUCUGUCUCUGUGGUUUGCAUAAAUUUGUUAUAUUUUCCUGCUGAGGGCAAAGCUGUAGCUGAGUGACUUUGUAAAGAAUGGUCAGUCACCCAUCAUCCUAUUUAACAGAAUCACUCAACAGCAUUAAAAUGCUGAAGGCAUUUAGCCGGCUGUCGUGAAAACUGUUGUGGCUAUUGGGAAACCUUUGUGAUCCUGCUAGCCGCAAGCCCUUCAGUGAAUUGUUUACAGAGCCACUUUGGAGGGACAUUUAUUUUACAAGUAAUAAGCUACAAUUAAAUUGAAUAUCUUCCUUCCCCUGCCCACCCCCCACCCCCCAAACCCACUUCUUACUUAUUUCCUCAUCUUCAAUUUGUUGGCUAUGGGGGAAAAAUAAUCCAAUGUAAAUUUCACAAAAGUUUUGAAAGAUAUACUUUAUUUUUGUCAUAACCAUGACAAAGGAUGUUGCAAGGAGGUGCAAGGGAAAUUCUUUCUAGAGUCUGAUCCUGUUCAAGUUGGAAUAAACAAAGACUGGCUGUUAUGUCAAAACAUAAGUAAGUGUACAGCUACGAUUAAGGUAAAAGUAAAGAUUUUCCCUGACAUUAAGUCUAGUCAUGAUUGACUCUGGGGG